CACAAGCUAAUAUGGAAACCACAUG
rnacentral:piRNA from 1 species